rnacentral:rRNA from 1 species
AUUGAACGCUGGCGGCAGGCUUAACGCAUGCAAGUCGAGCGGAGAUGAGGUGCUUGCACCUUAUCUUAGCGGCGGACGGGUGAGUAAUGCUUAGGAAUCUGCCUAUUAGUGGGGGACAACAUUCCGAAAGGAAUGCUAAUACCGCAUACGUCCUACGGGAGAAAGCAGGGGAUCUUCGGACCUUGCGCUAAUAGAUGAGCCUAAGUCGGAUUAGCUAGUUGGUGGGGUAAAGGCCUACCAAGGCGACGAUCUGUAGCGGGUCUGAGAGGAUGAUCCGCCACACGGGGCCGGAGACACGGCCCAGACUCCUACGGGAGGCAGCAGUGGGGAAUAUUGGACAAUGGGGGGAACCCUGAUCCAGCCAUGCCGCGUGUGUGAAGAAGGCCUUAUGGUUGUAAAGCACUUUAAGCGAGGAGGAGGCUACUGAGACUAAUACUCUUGGAUAGUGGACGUUACUCGCAGAAUAAGCACCGGCUAACUCUGUGCCAGCAGCCGCAGUAACAC